GAUGCUAAUACCGGAUAACAACAGAUGAUGCCUAUCAACUGUUUAAAAGAUGGUUCUGCUAUCACUCUUGGAUGGACCUGCGGUGCAUUAGCUAGUUGGUAGGGUAACGGCCUACCAAGGCGAUGAUGCAUAGCCGAGUUGAGAGACUGAUCGGCCACAUUGGGACUGAGACACGGCCCAAACUCCUACGGGAGGCAGCAGCG
rnacentral:rRNA from 1 species